GAGGAAUUUUAGGCGCUAGGCCAGUUAAUACACCAAUGGAUUCAAAUGUCAAGUUGUUGACAGGAGAAGAUCAGUUGCUUUAAAAUGCAGCCCAGUUUCAAGGACUUGCAGGAAAGCUUAUUCUUUUUACUGCCGUUCGACCAGAUAUAUUAUAUGCUGUAAGUAUGGUAAGCCAAACUGUGCUUGCUCUUAGAACUUUCAGAAGCUAUAUGUCAAAUUUUACAUGAUCUUAUAUGUGUUCCUGGAGAAGGAUUGGUUUACAAGGGGUAUACUUACUUAAAUCUCACA
rnacentral:lncRNA from 1 species